GGGGCUGAUUCUGGAUUCGACGGGAUUUGCGAAACCCAAGGUGCAUGCCGAGGGGCGGUUGGCCUCGUAAAAAGCCGCAAAAAAAUAGUCGCAAACGACGAAAACUACGCUUUAGCAGCUUAAUAACCUGCUUAGAGCCCUCUCUCCCUAGCCUCCGCUCUUAGGACGGGGAUCAAGAGAGGUCAAACCCAAAAGAGAUCGCGUGGAUGCCUUGCCUGGGGUUGAAGCGUUAAAACGAAUCAGGCUAGUCUGGUAGUGGCGUGUCCGUCCGCAGGUGCCAGGCGAAUGUAAAGACAGACUAAGCAUGUAGUACCGAGGAUGUAGGAAUUUCGGACGCGGGUUCAACUCCCGCCAGCUCCACUU
rnacentral:tmRNA from 3 species